rnacentral:rRNA from 1 species
AGGGCGCACGGUGGAUGCCUUGGCACUAGAAGCCGAUGAAGGACGUUACUAACGACGAUAUGCUUUGGGGAGCUGUAAGUAAGCUUUGAUCCAGAGAUUUCCGAAUGGGGAAACCCAGCAUGAGUUAUGUCAUGUUAUCGAUAUGUGAAUACAUAGCAUAUCAGAAGGCACACCCGGAGAACUGAAACAUCUUAGUACCCGGAGGAAGAGAAAGAAAAUUCGAUUCCCUUAGUAGCGGCGAGCGAAACGGGAAGAGCCCAAACCAACAAGCUUGCUUGUUGGGGUUGUAGGACACUCUAUACGGAGUUACAAAGGACGACAUUAGACGAAUCAUCUGGAAAGAUGAAUCAAAGAAGGUAAUAAUCCUGUAGUCGAAAAUGUUGUCUCUCUUGAGUGGAUCCUGAGUACGACGGAGCACGUGAAAUUCCGUCGGAAUCUGGGAGGACCAUCUCCUAAGGCUAAAUACUCUCUAGUGACCGAUAGUGAACCAGUACCGUGAGGGAAAGGUGAAAAGCACCCCGGAAGGGGAGUGAAAUAGAACCUGAAACCGUGUGCUUACAAGUAGUCAGAGCCCGUUAAUGGGUGAUGGCGUGCCUUUUGUAGAAUGAACCGGCGAGUUACGAUUUGAUGCAAGGUUAAGCAGUAAAUGUGGAGCCGUAGCGAAAGCGAGUCUGAAUAGGGCGUUUAGUAUUUGGUCGUAGACCCGAAACCAGGUGAUCUACCCUUGGUCAGGUUGAAGUUCAGGUAACACUGAAUGGAGGACCGAACCGACUUACGUUGAAAAGUGAGCGGAUGAACUGAGGGUAGCGGAGAAAUUCCAAUCGAACCUGGAGAUAGCUGGUUCUCUCCGAAAUAGCUUUAGGGCUAGCCUCAAGUGAUGAUUAUUGGAGGUAGAGCACUGUUUGGACGAGGGGCCCCUCUCGGGUUACCGAAUUCAGACAAACUCCGAAUGCCAAUUAAUUUAACUUGGGAGUCAGAACAUGGGUGAUAAGGUCCGUGUUCGAAAGGGAAACAGCCCAGACCACCAGCUAAGGUCCCAAAAUAUAUGUUAAGUGGAAAAGGAUGUGGCGUUGCCCAGACAACUAGGAUGUUGGCUUAGAAGCAGCCAUCAUUUAAAGAGUGCGUAAUAGCUCACUAGUCGAGUGACACUGCGCCGAAAAUGUACCGGGGCUAAACAUAUUACCGAAGCUGUGGAUUGUCCUUUGGACAAUGGUAGGAGAGCGUUCUAAGGGCGUUGAAGCAUGAUCGCAAGGACAUGUGGAGCGCUUAGAAGUGAGAAUGCCGGUGUGAGUAGCGAAAGACGGGUGAGAAUCCCGUCCACCGAUUGACUAAGGUUUCCAGAGGAAGGCUCGUCCGCUCUGGGUUAGUCGGGUCCUAAGCUGAGGCCGACAGGCGUAGGCGAUGGAUAACAGGUUGAUAUUCCUGUACCACCUAUAAUCGUUUUAAUCGAUGGGGGGACGCAGUAGGAUAGGCGAAGCGUGCGAUUGGAUUGCACGUCUAAGCAGUAAGGCUGAGUAUUAGGCAAAUCCGGUACUCGUUAAGGCUGAGCUGUGAUGGGGAGAAGACAUUGUGUCUUCGAGUCGUUGAUUUCACACUGCCGAGAAAAGCCUCUAGAUAGAAAAUAGGUGCCCGUACCGCAAACCGACACAGGUAGUCAAGAUGAGAAUUCUAAGGUGAGCGAGCGAACUCUCGUUAAGGAACUCGGCAAAAUGACCCCGUAACUUCGGGAGAAGGGGUGCUCUUUAGGGUUAACGCCCAGAAGAGCCGCAGUGAAUAGGCCCAAGCGACUGUUUAUCAAAAACACAGGUCUCUGCUAAACCGUAAGGUGAUGUAUAGGGGCUGACGCCUGCCCGGUGCUGGAAGGUUAAGAGGAGUGGUUAGCUUCUGCGAAGCUACGAAUCGAAGCCCCAGUAAACGGCGGCCGUAACUAUAACGGUCCUAAGGUAGCGAAAUUCCUUGUCGGGUAAGUUCCGACCCGCACGAAAGGCGUAACGAUUUGGGCACUGUCUCAACGAGAGACUCGGUGAAAUCAUAGUACCUGUGAAGAUGCAGGUUACCCGCGACAGGACGGAAAGACCCCGUGGAGCUUUACUGUAGCCUGAUAUUGAAAUUCGGCACAGCUUGUACAGGAUAGGUAGGAGCCUUUGAAACGUGAGCGCUAGCUUACGUGGAGGCGCUGGUGGGAUACUACCCUAGCUGUGUUGGCUUUCUAACCCGCACCACUUAUCGUGGUGGGAGACAGUGUCAGGCGGGCAGUUUGACUGGGGCGGUCGCCUCCUAAAAGGUAACGGAGGCGCUCAAAGGUUCCCUCAGAAUGGUUGGAAAUCAUUCAUAGAGUGUAAAGGCAUAAGGGAGCUUGACUGCGAGACCUACAAGUCGAGCAGGGUCGAAAGACGGACUUAGUGAUCCGGUGGUUCCGCAUGGAAGGGCCAUCGCUCAACGGAUAAAAGCUACCCCGGGGAUAACAGGCUUAUCUCCCCCAAGAGUUCACAUCGACGGGGAGGUUUGGCACCUCGAUGUCGGCUCAUCGCAUCCUGGGGCUGUAGUCGGUCCCAAGGGUUGGGCUGUUCGCCCAUUAAAGCGGUACGCGAGCUGGGUUCAGAACGUCGUGAGACAGUUCGGUCCCUAUCCGUCGUGGGCGUAGGAAAUUUGAGAGGAGCUGUCCUUAGUACGAGAGGACCGGGAUGGACAUACCUCUGGUGUACCAGUUGUCGUGCCAACGGCAUAGCUGGGUAGCUAUGUGUGGACGGGAUAAGUGCUGAAAGCAUCUAAGCAUGAAGCCCCCCUCAAGAUGAGAUUUCCCAACUUCGGUUAUAAGAUCCCUCAAAGAUGAUGAGGUUAAUAGGUUCGAGGUGGAAGCAUGGUGACAUGUGGAGCUGACGAAUACUAAUCGAUCGAAGACUUAAUC